UACGGGGGGGGCAAGCGUUGUUCGGAAUUACUGGGCGUAAAGGGCUCGUAGGCGGCCAACUAAGUCAGACGUGAAAUCCCUCGGCUUAACCGGGGAACUGCGUCUGAUACUGGGAGGCUUGAGUAUGGGAGAGGGAUGUAGAAUUCCAGGUGUAGCGGUGAAAUGCGUAGAUAUCUGGAGGAAUACCGGUGGCGAAGGCGGCAUCCUGGACCAUAACUGACGCUGAGGCGCGAAAGCUAGGGGAGCAAACGGG
rnacentral:rRNA from 1 species